AACUAUAACGGUCCUAAGGUAGCGAAAUUCCUUGUCAGGUAAGUUCUGACCCGCACGAAAGGCGUAACGAUUUGGGCGCUGUCUCGGCAGCAGACUCGGUGAAAUCUUAGUACCUGUGAAAAUGCAGGUUACCCGCAACUAGACGGAAAGACCCCAUGGAGCUUUACUGCAGCCUGAUAUUGGAUUUUGAUCAGAGAUGUACAGGAUAGGUGGGAGACGAAGAAGGAUGCACGCCAGUGUAUCUGGAGUCGACGUUGGGAUACCACUCUUGUCUGAUUGGAGUUCUAACCUGCGUCCAUGAAGCUGGACGGGGGACCGUGUCAGGCAGGCAGUUUGACUGGGGCGGUCGCCUCCCAAAGAGUAACGGAGGCGCCCAAAGGUACGCUCAGAUUGGACGGAAAUCAAUCGGCGAGUGCAAAUGCAGAAGCGUGCUUGACUGUGAGACAAACAGGUCGAACAGGGACGAAAGUCGGGAUUAGUGAUCCGGCGGUGCCGAAUGGAAGGGCCGUCGCUCAACGGAUAAAAGCUACCCUGGGGAUAACAGGCUGAUCUCGCCCAAGAGUUCACAUCGACGGCGAGGUUUGGCACCUCGAUGUCGGCUCAUCGCAUCCUGGAGCUGAAUUCGGUUCCAAGGGUUGGGCUGUCCGCCCAUUAAAGCGGUACGCGAGCUGGGUUCAGAACGUCGUGAGACAGUUCGGUCCCUAUCUGUUGUGGGCGUAGGAGAUUUGAGGAGAGCUGUCCUUAGUACGAGAGGACCGGGAUGGACCUACCGCUGGUGCACCGGUUGUUGUGCCAACAGCAUAGCCGGGUAGCUAAGUAGGGAAGGGAUAAGCGCUGAAAGCAUCUAAGCGCGAAGCCUACUCCAAGAUGAGAUCUCCCAUACGCAAGUAGUAAGACCCCUUGAAGACGACGAGGUAGAUAGGUCAGGGAUGGAAGCGCAGCGAUGCGUGGAGUUGACUGAUACUAAUAGGUCGAGGACUUAAUCAA
rnacentral:rRNA from 1 species